UUUAAAUGCAACUGUAAGUUUUCGCACAUAAUUUUGAUCGUCCGUCUUAUUUGAAAUUCUUUUUAUAAUUAAUAUUUUUGUUGUUUAUGAGAUGAUAAAACAUGAAUAAUACUUUACUCGUGACUUAUGGUAUUUUUUUUCAAUUUUUUUUAAAUAAGACGUACGAUUAAAGUUGGACGCGGAAAACCAUAGAUGCACUUAAA
rfam:Oryza barthii chromosome 2, whole genome shotgun sequence.